rnacentral:rRNA from 1 species
GAUGAACGCUAGCGGCAGGCCUAAUACAUGCAAGUCGAACGAUACUUUCCAGCUUGCUGGGAAGGAAAGUGGCGCACGGGUGCGUAACGCGUAUGCAACCUACCUUAAUCAGGGGGAUAGCCCGAAGAAAUUCGGAUUAACACCGCAUAAAAACACAGUACAGCAUUGUACAAUGUUCAAAUAUUUAUAGGAUUAAGAUG